rnacentral:tRNA from 1 species
UCCCGUGUGGCUCAGUUGGUAGAGCAUGGUGUUUGCAACGCCAGGGUUGUGGGUUUGAUUCCCACGGGGAA